GGAAAAGCUUGGGAUCAAGAAGGAAACCCAAAGAACUCAAUACGUGAUGAAGAAGUAACGUCAGAAAAACUGAGUGCAGACUUUGUAUUGAGUCAGGAAGACGAUGAUUAUAGACGACGUCGUAGCAUCUAUCUGAAGAGCUACAGUUUGAAGAAGGCCAAAUCCAAUGCAGACAUACGUCGCCACAUAUCAACUGCUUGUAAGUUUCUGUAUCGGUUGAAGAAACUCGUCAGCUCUGGACAUCAUCGUCGAAUGUGAUAAGUACAAUACAAAGACGAGCUACGGCUAGGGUUUAUGCAUGUGUAUUAUACAGAUGAAGUGUUUCCCUUACUUCUGAUUUACAUAUGUUUUGUUAGUUUAAUAGUUUGCUUGAAUAAACUAUACUUUGACCAAAUUUGUGGUUUCAUCUCAUCAGAAUAGUAUAGAAGAUUAAGCAUCUGUUUUUUUUUAUUACUCAUGAAACUCCAAGAUUCUGUAGAAGGCUUCUAUAUCUAGUAC
rnacentral:lncRNA from 1 species